rnacentral:snRNA from 1 species
GGAUGUGAGGAUUAUCUGGCUGUGAAAUCUGUCACCCAUUGACCACCAAGGUUGAUUCAGUUGAUCUGGCUGGCUAGACAAAUAUCCCCUUCCUCCCUCACCACUCCAUGUGCAUCCCUCAUGAAGCUAUGUCCUCUGUCAAAGAGGAUGACCACCCCUGCUAGAUGAGGAUGGUUUCCUCAGUCAAGGGUAUACAAGUACCUACACUCCCAUGCUAGAACCUUAGAACAAGCUCUCAGAAUUGCCUGAGGUAUGAUGACAAAACCAUCUUCCAAGAAAGGAAAAGAACUGAUAAUCUGGCUGCUAUCCACUCAUUGUUU